CUACGGGAGGCAGCAGUAGGGAUUCUUCCACAAUGGACGAAAGUCUGAUGGAGCAACGCCGCGUGAGUGAAGAAGGUUUUCGGAUCGUACAACUCUGUUGUUGGAGAAGAAUGUAUCUGAUAGUAACUGAUCAGGUAGUGACGGUAUCCAACCAGAAAGCCACGGCUAACUACGUGCCAGCAGCCGCGGUAAUACGUAGGUGGCAAGCGUUGUCCGGAUUUAUUGGGCGUAAAGCGAGCGCAGGCGGUUUCUUAAGUCUGAUGUGAAAGCCUUCGGCUCAACCGAAGAAGUGCAUCGGAAACUGGGAAACUUGAGUGCAGAAGAGGACAGUGGAACUCCAUGUGUAGCGGUGAAAUGCGUAGAUAUAUGGAAGAACACCAGUGGCGAAGGCGGCUGUCUGGUCUGUAACUGACGCUGAGGCUCGAAAGCAUGGGUAGCAAACAGGAUUAGAUACCCUGGUAGUCCAUGCCGUAAACGAUGAGUGCUAGGUGUUGGAGGGUUUCCGCCCUUCAGUGCCGCAGCUAACGCAUUAAGCACUCCGCCUGGGGAGUACGACCGCAAGGUUGAAACUCAAAGGAAUUGACGGGGGCCCGCACAAGCGGUGGAGCAUGUGGUUUAAUUCGAAGCAACGCGAAGAACCUUACCAGGUCUUGACAUCCUUUGACCACUCUAGAGAUAGAGCUUUCCCUUCGGGGACAAAGUGACAGGUGGUGCAUGGUUGUCGUCAGCUCGUGUCGUGAGAUGUUGGGUUAAGUCCCGCAACGAGCGCAACCCUUAUUACUAGUUGCCAGCAUUAAGUUGGGCACUCUAGUGAGACUGCCGGUGACAAACCGGAGGAAGGUGGGGACGACGUCAAAUCAUCAUGCCCCUUAUGACCUGGGCUACACACGUGCUACAAUGGAUGGUACAACGAGUUGCGAGACCGCGAGGUUUAGCUAAUCUCUUAAAACCAUUCUCAGUUCGGAUUGUAGGCUGCAACUCGCCUACAUGAAGCCGGAAUCGCUAGUAAUCGCGGAUCAGCAUGCCGCGGUGAAUACGUUCCCGGGCCUUGUACACACCGCCCGUCACACCAUGAGAGUUUGUAACACCCAAAGCCGGUGAGGUAACCCUUCGGGGAGCCAGCCGUCUAAG
rnacentral:rRNA from 1 species